GAUUUUAGUCUUGCCCAAGAGGAAUCACCAUCUGUUGAAUCACAACUUUCACUUCCUUUGUUGCCGGAGUUUCUUAAUCUUUCAUCUCACAUUGGUCUAGCUCUGUAGAUGGGACAAUGUCACCAGAGCAGAAAUAAUCACGCUGGAGGUAAGGCUGAGGACUGCAGAGGCCAUGAGGAAAGUUACACUGAUGAAAGUGGAAAGAAUGCCAGAAAAAACCCCAACAUUGGAACAAUUGUGCAAAGACAGAUUUUCUUCUCAGUCAUUGGCUGUGGGAACAGCUUGCUGCCUAAAGAAGUGUUUACAGAGGGGGACAGCAACCCAAGUUUUCUACUUGCUGACUCACAGGAGUGCUAGUCUGUACAAGCCUUGCUGGUCACAAAUUUUCACUGUUGUAGUGAAAAUCACCUUCCAGACAUUUUCCAAGAUUGGAGCCAGAAGACUUUGGACAAACUGA
rnacentral:lncRNA from 1 species